GUGUUCUAGAGAGAGCUUAUUACUUCCUCCUGACAAGGACAGAAGAGGCUAGGAACACAUAUAUGGUUAAGGCACUGCAAAAUACUUCAUGGCAGCUCUAACCAUGGUUAGUU
ensembl:snRNA